rnacentral:tRNA from 1 species
GGAGAGAUGUCCGAGUUGGUCUAAGGAGCACGCCUGGAGAGCGUGUAGGCCCCAAAAGGGCCUCCUGGGUUCAAAUCCCAGUCUCUCCG